UACGUAAGGGGCAAGCGUUGUCCGGAAUUAUUGGGCGUAAAGAGCGUGUAGGCGGCCAGAUAAGUCCGCUGUGAAAUCUCGAGGCUCAACUUCGAGCUGUCGGUGGAAACUAUCUGGCUAGAGUCCGGAAGAGGAGAAUGGAAUUCCUGGUGUAGCGGUGAAAUGCGCAGAUAUCAGGGAGAACACCCGUGGCGAAGGCGGUUCUCUGGGACGGUACUGACGCUGAGACGCGAAAGCGUGGGGAGCAAACAGG
rnacentral:rRNA from 1 species